rnacentral:rRNA from 1 species
CGCCUACGGGGGGCAGCAGUGGGGGAUAUUGCACAAUGGGGGAAACCCUGAUGCAGCGACGCCGCGUGUGGGAAGACGGUCCUCUGGAUUGUAAACCACUGUCCCCAGGGACGAAGAUGACGGUACCUGGGGAGGAAGCUCCGGCUAACUACGUGCCAGCAGCCGCGGUAAUACGUAGGGGGCGAGCGUUGUCCGGAAUCACUGGGCGUAAAGGGCGCGUAGGCGGUAAUAUAAGUCAGAUGUGAAAGGUGGGGGCUCAACCCCUAGAGGGCAACUGAUACUGUAUAACUUGAGUGUGAGAGAGG